rnacentral:misc_RNA from 1 species
GAUGCAGAACGUAGCGAAAUGCGAUAAGUAAUGUGAAUUGCAGAAUUCAGUGAAUCAUCGAAUCUUUGAACGCACAUUGCGCCCGCCAGUAUUCUGGCGGGCAUGCCUGUUCGAGCGUCAUUUCAACCAUCAAGCCCCCGGCUUGUGUUGGGGACCUGCGGCUGCCGCAGGCCCUGAAAAGCAGUGGCGGGCUCGCUGUCACACCGAGCGUAGUAGCAUACAUCUCGCUCUGGGCGUGCUGCGGGUUCCGGCCGUUAAACCACCUUCAUAACCCAAGGUUGACCUCGGAUCAGGUAGGAAGACCCGCUGAACUUAAGCAUAUCAAUAAGCGGAGGA